GAUGAACGCUGGCGGCGUGCCUAAUACAUGCAAGUCGAGCGAACGGACGAGAAGCCUGCUUCUCUGAUGUUAGCGGCGAACGGGUGAGUAACACGUGGAUAACCUACCUAUAAGACUGGGAUAACUUCGGGAAACCGGAGCUAAUACCGGAUAAUAUUUUGAACCGCAUGGUUCAAAAGUGAAAGACGGUCUUGCUGUCACUUAUAGAUGGAUCCGCGCUGCAUUAGCUAGUUGGUAAGGUAACGGCUUACCAAGGCAACGAUGCAUAGCCGACCUGAGAGGGUGAUCGGCCACACUGGAACUGAGACACGGUCCAGACUCCUACGGGAGGCAGCAGUAGGGAAUCUUCCGCAAUGGGCGAAAGCCUGACGGAGCAACGCCGCGUGAGUGAUGAAGGUCUUCGGAUCGUAAAACUCUGUUAUUAGGGAAGAACAUAUGUGUAAGUAACUGUGCACAUCUUGACGGUACCUAAUCAGAAAGCCACGGCUAACUACGUG
rnacentral:rRNA from 1 species